AUUGAACGCUGGCGGCAUGCCUAACACAUGCAAGUCGAACGAGACCUUCGGGUCUAGUGGCGCACGGGUGCGUAACGCGUGGGAAUCUACCCUUGGGUUCGGAAUAACUCAGAGAAAUUUGAGCUAAUACCGGAUGAUGUCGCAAGACCAAAGAUUUAUCGCCCAAGGAUGAGCCCGCGUAGGAUUAGCUUGUUGGUGAGGUAAAAGCUCACCAAGGCGACGAUCCUUAGCUGGUCUGAGAGGAUGAUCAGCCACACUGGGACUGAGACACGGCCCAGACUCCUACGGGAGGCAGCAGUGGGGAAUAUUGGACAAUGGGCGAAAGCCUGAUCCAGCAAUGCCGCGUGAGUGAUGAAGGCCUUAGGGUUGUAAAGCUCUUUUACCCGGGAUGAUAAUGACAGUACCGGGAGAAUAAGCCCCGGCUAACUCCGUGCCAGCAGCCGCGGUAAU
rnacentral:rRNA from 1 species